rnacentral:misc_RNA from 1 species
UUAAGUUCAGCGGGUAGUCCUACCUGAUUUGAGGUCAGAGUCCAAAAGAGCGCCCACGAGGGGGCAGGGGGUUAUGAGCGGGCCUCACACCAUGCCAGACGAAACUUAUCACAUCGGGCCGUGGAUGCUGAUCCCACUAAGUCAUUUGAGGCGAGCCGACAGAUGGCAGACACCCAGGUCCAAGUCCGCCCCAAGGUCAA